AUUGAACGCUGGCGGCAGGCAUAACACAUGCAAGUCGAACGGUAACAGGGAUCAGCUUGCUGAUUCGCUGACGAGUGGCGGCCGGGUGAGUCAUGUCUGGGAAACUGCCUGAUGGAGGGGGAUAACUACUGGAAACGGUAGCUAAUACCGCAUAACGUCGCAAGACCAAAGAGGGGGACCUUCGGGCCUCUUGCCAUCGGAUGUGCCCAGAUGGGAUUAGCUAGUAGGUGGGGUAACGGCUCACCUAGGCGACGAUCCCUAGCUGGUCUGAGAGGAUGACCCGCCACACUGGAACUGAGACACGGUCCAGACUCCUACGGGAGGCAGCAGUGGGGAAUAUUGCACAAUGGGCGCAAGCCUGAUGCAGCCAUGCCGCGUGUAUGAAGAAGGCCUUCGGGUUGUAAAGUACUUUCAGCGGGGAGGAAGGGAGUAAAGUUAAUACCUUUGCUCAUUGACGUUACCCGCAGAAGAAGCACCGGCUAACUCCGUG
rnacentral:rRNA from 1 species